rnacentral:rRNA from 1 species
AGCGAACGCUGGCGGCAGGCUUAACACAUGCAAGUCGAGCGGGCAUCCUUGUGGUGUCAGCGGCAGACGGGUGAGUAACGCGUGGGAACGUGCCCUUCGGUUCGGAAUAACUCAGGGAAACUUGAGCUGAUACCGGAUACGUGCGAGAGCAGAAAGGUUUAUCUGCCGAAGGAUCGGCCCGCGUCUGAUUAGCUAGUUGGUGAGGUUACGGCUCACCAAGGCGACGAUCAGUAGCUGGUCUGAGAGGAUGAUCAGCCACACUGGGACUGAGACACGGCCCAGACUCCUACGGGAGGCAGCAGUGGGGAAUAUUGGACAAUGGGGGCAACCCUGAUCCAGCCAUGCCGCGUGAGUGAUGACGGCCUUAGGGUUGUAAAGCUCUUUUCUCCGGGACGAUAAUGACGGUACCGGAGGAAUAAGCCCCGGCUAACUUCGUG